rnacentral:rRNA from 1 species
CAGCAGUGAGGAAUAUUGGUCAAUGGCCGGAAGGCUGAACCAGCCAAGUAGCGUGCAGGAUGACUGCCUUAUGGGUUGUAAACUGCUUUUUUACGGGAAUAAUUAUGAUCACGUGUGAUUAUUUGCAUGUACCGUAAGAAUAAGGAUCGGCUAACUCCGUGCCAGCAGCCGCGGUAAUACGGAGGAUCCUAGUGUUAUCCGGAUUUAUUGGGUUUAAAGGGAGCGUAGGCGGGAGGUCAAGUCAGCUGUGAAAUGUAUCUGCUUAACGGGUACACUGCAGUUGAAACUGGUUUUCUUGAGUGCGUAAGAGGCAGGCGGAAUUCGUUGUGUAGCGGUGAAAUGCUUAGAUAUGACGAGGAACUCCUAUUGCGAAGGCAGCUUGCUGGGUCGUUACUGACGCUGAUGCUCGAAGGUGCGGGGAUCAAACAGGAUUAGAUACCCUGGUAGUCCGCACAGUAAACUAUGGAUACUCUCUGCCGGCGAUAUAUUGUCGGUGGCCAAGCGAAAGCGUUAAGUAUCCCACCUGGGGAGUACGUUCGCAAGAAUGAAACUCAAAGGAAUUGACGGGGGCCCGCACAAGCGGAGGAACAUGUGGUUUAAUUCGAUGAUACGCGAGGAACCUUACCCGGGUUUGAAUUGCUGAUGUCGGUAUUUGGAGACAGAUACUUCCCUUCGGGGCGUCAGUGAAGGUGCUGCAUGGUUGUCGUCAGCUCGUGCCGUGAGGUGUCGGCUUAAGUGCCAUAACGAGCGCAACCCUUGCCGUUAGUUGCCAUCGGGUCAUGCCGGGCACUCUAUUGGGACUGCCAUCGUAAGAUGUGAGGAAGGUGGGGAUGACGUCAAAUCAGCACGGCCCUUAUGUCCGGGGCGACACACGUGUUACAAUGGGGGGUACAGUGGGAAGCUACCUGGCGACAGGUUGCGGAUCCCCAAAUCCUUUCUCAGUUCGGAUCGGAGUCUGUAACUCGACUCCGUGAAGUUGGAUUCGCUAGUAAUCGCGCAUCAGCCAUGGCGCGGUGAAUACGUUCCCGGGCCUUGUACACACCGCCCGUCAAGCCAUGAAAGCCGGGGGUGCCUGAAGUUCGUGACCGCGAGGAGCGACCUAGGGCAAACCUGGUGAUUGGGGCUAAGUCGUAACAAGGUAGCCGUACCGGAAGGUGCGGCUG